ACAGCCCAACGUAACCGCCAAGCAACCCCUUCAAACCUUUCUCCGAUCGCACUCCCCAUCCAUCUCGACGGCGAUCACCACCACCACCACCGCCAUGGCCGACGACCACUCCUCCUCCUCACCUCAUCUAUGCCACUCCUGCGGCAACCCUACCACCGCCGCUCCUCCCCCCACCGCUGCCCCUUGGUCCGACGCCUCUCCUCCCCCGUCUACCGCCCCAUCCGAGCCCCGGCCAUCAACGCCCCCGCCCCCCAACACCGCCGCGAUCAUCCUCUCUCCGGUCCCCCAACCCCUCCCCGUCCCCCCUCUCUCCUUCCCCCACUCCUUCGAAUCCCCUUCCAAGAAGAUCGCCUCCCCUGACGACAUUGCCCACUUCCACUCCAUCCCCGCCGGUCGCCACUUCCUCGGCUUCGUCUCCGCUCUCUCCCAAUCCGCCCGUGGCCUCAAGAUCUCCGAUCCUGUUCCCAUCUCCGCCACUAUCUCCUCCCUUCUCUCCCUCCUCCAAGCACUCUCUUCCUGGCUCCCCCUCUUCCCUCCUCUCCCCCACCCUUCCCGCUACGGUAACCCCGCUUUCCGAUCCUGGCACCAGAAGCUCGUCGACGACGCUUCGUCCCUCGUCCUCCCUCUCCUCCCAUCGGACGACCUUCGCCCUGCCUCUAUUGAGCUCGUCCCUUACCUUCUUGACUCCUUCGGCAAUCCCACUCGCAUGGACUAUGGCACCGGUCAUGAGACCCACUUCGCCGCUUUCCUCUACUGCCUAGCGCGCCUCGGCGUUGUCUCCGAGCCUGAUUACCCUGCCCUUGUCACCCGCGUCUUUGUCUCUUACCUCAGUUUGAUGCGCGAAGUUCAGAUGACUUACCAGCUCGAGCCAGCCGGCUCUCAUGGUGUCUGGGGCCUCGACGAUUACCAUUUUCUGCCUUUUGUGUUCGGCUCUGCGCAGCUCGUUGAUCACAAGUAUAUGAAGCCCAAGUCGAUUCACAAUCAGGAUAUCUUGGAUAAUUUCUCCAAUGAGUAUAUGUACCUGGCUUGUGUGGCGUUUGUGAAGAAGGUGAAGAGGGGGCCAUUUGCAGAGCACUCGCCCUUGCUGGAUGAUAUCAGUGGGGUGGCCACUUGGAGCAAAGUGAAUAGUGGUUUGUUGAAGAUGUAUAAGGCGGAGGUGCUUGAGAAGGUGCCCAUCAUGCAGCAUUUCCUCUUUGGAUCUAUCAUCAAGUGGGAGUGAACUCAACUGUUAUUAUCACCAGGGGCAUCCUUCGGAGUACAAACAUAGGUGUCCCGGUGCUGCGUGGAUAUCUAGAGUGACAUGUGAUGAUGGAACUUGGGAAAGUAUACGGGGACAUUGAAUGUGUCUUUCUUGACUUCAGAGGCAUUUUAAUUGAAGUCAUCACUCAGAGACGCAAAAGAAGAGCAGUGAAGAGCCAUGCAGUUUUUGCAGGCAAAACACUGGAUUAGCUCACAUAUGUCUGUUGUUUCUGGAGGUGGUUGCUAUCACAGUAACAAUAAAGCUUUCAUUAAACACCCAUCAACUCAGUGCCAUUGUACCGCCACAAACGACUACUGUUUUGUGGGGCUUAUACUUUGUUAUCAAUCAAAUGAAUCAUCUGAGGAGAAACACUGUGCCAGUCACAUUUUUUAGUAAAACAGCUCUUAGAGAUAAUCAAAAGUUUUCCAUUCUCUAAAGCUUUCAUUAGCUGAUGGAGUUGCUGGUCAUGAAGAGUGGCUUGGUGAAAUGUAUGAGAGAGAAAAAUAAGACAUCAAUGAAGAAAAGCUGUUUCCCUUUCUAAAUUUCCUCAGGUGUGAUGAUGUCUUCCCACCUCCAAGCACACCAGUAGGUGAACACAUUUAUUUCUAUCUCUUUCUCUUUCUGUGUUUGUGUUUAUGUGUGUGUGUGUAUAAAAGGAUCAGGCAAGCAGAAGUGACCCAAUGCUGAACAGAGGACUGAAAGACAUCUGAGUUGGAUGGCUGCUAAGGUAAGCCUGUGUAGUUUGUCUACUGUAGCUUCCAGACCUGGCAACUCAAGUGUGGUGUGUAGUGAAUCAGUGAUAAAUAACACUGUUAUAAAAA